UGAUGAGUUAAUGGCUUAUCCCCACCACUAAUCUCACUUACCUGGCCAACCUGGUAAAUUAGGUUUUGAUUAGAUCAUUUGGUGAUUAGGGCUCACCCAUGUCAUUAAGUAAAUCAGUUUGACUGAUUUAGGUGCUCCUAAUGCCAGCUUUAAGUAAAUCCUUUUUAAUCUGACUUGGUGAAGUCAGUGGGAGGAUUGAAAUUGGCUGGAUAUUUUCUUCUCAUCUAUUCUUUAAUAAAAUU
rnacentral:lncRNA from 1 species